UCUAAGAACAUUGAUGUGUUUUUCCCCUCUUUUUCAACAAGUCCCCAUUGUGUUAGCUAUGAACCAUUAGUGAUGUAAGUUGUCUGUCCUGUUCAGCGGUGGAAGAAGCAUUCAGAACCUUACUUAAGUAAAAAUAUUGUGUGGAUGGCAUCGCUUAUCAACAGAUUCCUGAGGUCAGAUAUGGGAGGAAUAACAAUUCACACAUUUGAGCCGAUGCUGUUCUACAAAGCAGAUAAAUGCAUCAACAAGGUCUCAGCAAUAAUACAAUCUGGGCGUUGGCUUCAACCCUGUGACCCCUCCUAUACCCUGAGAGGAAACUUCCUGCUCUCUCUGACCCUCCAGCAGGUGAAAACACAGCGCUGUCAUGAGAACAAGAGACAAAAAAUCAAGAUAACAAUGAAAGCCCAUUUCUCUCUUUCUUUCUCCUCGAGCUUGAUGUUCAGGGUAGAAGCCUCUCUAUUUCUCUGCUGUAUCACUUUACUCUGUUAUCUGGAAUGAUGCACAGAGUUGUUGCCAGUUUUAGCUCCACCUACACUGCAGCAACUUUAUCGAAGCAUCACCUUGAUUUGACGCUUCUUCCCCCGAUUCCUCCUGUCAAGUAUUUGAUGGGAAAUGUAAUAACACGUUAUGGCUUGUGGAUAUAUUUUGAUUGUGGUUGUCCUACAGGAUGUGCUGACUGGUUGCCAUCCCAUCAUCAGUCAAGUCCACUAUUUUGUCUUCCCUCUUAAAAUACUUUCUGACACCCUCCCUGUUUGCACUGUGCUGCCAGGCUGCUGUGUAAAACACUGAAUAAAGCAGUUUCACAUUAAAAA